rnacentral:rRNA from 1 species
AUUGAACGCUGGCGGCAUGCCUUACACAUGCAAGUCGAACGGCAGCGGGGGAGAAGCUUGCUUUUCCUGCCGGCGAGUGGCGAACGGGUGAGUAAUACAUCGGAACGUGCCCUGUAGUGGGGGAUAACUAGUCGAAAGAUUAGCUAAUACCGCAUACGACCUGAGGGUGAAAGUGGGGGACCGCAAGGCCUCAUGCUAUAGGAGCGGCCGAUGUCUGAUUAGCUAGUUGGUGGGGUAAAGGCCUACCAAGGCGACGAUCAGCAGCUGGUCUGAGAGGCCGAUCAGCCACACUGGGACUGAGACACGGCCCAGACUCCUACGGGAGGCAGCAGUGGGGAAUUUUGGACAAUGGGCGAAAGCCUGAUCCAGCAAUGCCGCGUGUGUGAAGAAGGCCUUCGGGUUGUAAAGCACUUUUGUCCGGAAAGAAAUGGCUCUGGUUAAUACCUGGGGUCGAUGACGGUACCGGAAGAAUAAGGACCGGCUAACUACGUGCCAGCAGCCGCGGUAAGAC